rnacentral:rRNA from 1 species
UACGUAGGGUGCAAGCGUUAAUCGGAAUUACUGGGCGUAAAGCGUGCGCAGGCGGCUUUGCAAGACAGAUGUGAAAUCCCCGGGCUCAACCUGGGAACUGCAUUUGUGACUGCAAGGCUAGAGUACGGUAGAGGGGGAUGGAAUUCCGCGUGUAGCAGUGAAAUGCGUAGAUAUGUGGAGGAACACCGAUGGCGAAGGCAGCCCCCUGGGUCGACACUGACGCUCAUGCACAAAAGCGUGGGGAGCAAACAGG